rnacentral:rRNA from 1 species
AGAACGAACGCUGGCGGCAUGCCUAAUACAUGCAAGUCGAACGAACACUUCGGUGUUAGUGGCGCACGGGUGCGUAACGCGUGGGAAUCUGCCCUUGGGUUCGGAAUAACAGUUGGAAACGACUGCUAAUACCGGAUGAUGACGAAAGUCCAAAGAUUUAUCGCCCAGGGAUGAGCCCGCGUAGGAUUAGCUAGUUGGUGAGGUAAAGGCUCACCAAGGCGACGAUCCUUAGCUGGUCUGAGAGGAUGAUCAGCCACACUGGGACUGAGACACGGCCCAGACUCCUACGGGAGGCAGCAGUAGGGAAUAUUGGACAAUGGGCGCAAGCCUGAUCCAGCAAUGCCGCGUGAGUGAUGAAGGCCUUAGGGUUGUAAAGCUCUUUUACCCGAGAUGAUAAUGACAGUAUCGGAGAAUAAGCCCCGGCUAAACUCCGUGCCAGCAGCCGC